rnacentral:rRNA from 1 species
GCGGAAGGAUCAUGUCGAG